CAGGGAUCUCGUGCACAGACAAACAGCCAGUGCCGUGGUGCAACAUAUGUCUCUUGGUGUUUAUGGGUUUGGCUGUGAAGAUUCUCUUAAUCAUUUGUUAAAUUACGUAUGGCCUAAUGUGUUUGAAACCUCUCCUCACGUCAUCCAGGCAGUUAUGGGGGCUCUGGAGGGCCUCAGGGUUGCGAUUGGUCCUUGCAGAAUGUUGCAGUAUUGUUUACAGGGUUUGUUUCACCCUGCCAGGAAGGUCAGAGACGUUUAUUGGAAGAUUUAUAAUUCGAUCUACAUCGGAUCGCAAGAUGCUCUGAUAGCACAUUACCCAAGGAUCUAUAAUGAUGAAAAGAACACCUAUAUUCGUUAUGAACUUGAUUACAUCUUAUAAUCUUCUUGUUCAGUUGUUUGUGUUUAAUGCACAGCUGUUCUUCAAUUAAAUGCUUCAGAUUUGUUGAUGUAAAAUUUUAAAAUAUUGGAGAUCAGUAUAGAGCUGGUCAGAGGCAGAGCUAGGAAUCCAGUAGCAUGAUUUUUUAAAUAUGUCUUUGUUUUUUGAUGUUAAACAGUUAAAGCCAGUAGUGACCAAGAAAACAGUGAUUAUAAUGUACUGGAGGGAUUUCAUUUUGGAUUCAUCUUUAUGAAGAUUUAGAUUUCAUUCCUUGUGUUUAAAGGGGAGGUUUGAGAAAUAAACAUUUGUGUAUAAAAACUAAUUUGUGUGUGGUUUUUGGACAGAGGGACUUGUAAAACAAGUCUUUUGAUGGAUUAAGUAUUUGUUCAUGUAAUAAAUAGGUGGCAUAAAACACUUUAACCCUUUUUGUCAUCCCCUAGCUUUUGAAUAAAUAACAAAAACAUAAAAACUGUA